ACUGUCUUAGUUCAUUUUCUGCUGCUAUCACAGAAUACCACAGACUGGGUAAUUUAUAAGGAACAGAAGUUUAUUUGGCUCAUGGUUCUGGAGGCUGGAAAGUCCAAGAGCAUGGCACUGGCAUCUGACAAAGUCAUUCCAAGGUGGAAGGCAUCACAUGAUUGGAUAAUUUAUACUGAUCUGUCUUAAAGUUCUGACUCCUUCUUUGUGUUGAUGAAAAGAGUCAAACUGUAAAAUAUUUGAAGAGAUUUAUUCUGAGCCAAAUACAAGUGACCAUGGCCUGUGACAGCACCCUCAGGAGGUCCUGAGAACAUGUGCCCAAAGUGGUCGGGG
rnacentral:lncRNA from 1 species